GACGAACGCUGGCGGCGUGCUUAACACAUGCAAGUCGAACGGAAAGGCCCUGCUUUUGUGGGGUGCUCGAGUGGCGAACGGGUGAGUAACACGUGAGUAACCUGCCCUUGACUUUGGGAUAACUUCAGGAAACUGGGGCUAAUACCGGAUAGGAGCUCCUGCUGCAUGGUGGGGGUUGGAAAGUUUCGGCGGUUGGGGAUGGACUCGCGGCUUAUCAGCUUGUUGGUGGGGUAGUGGCUUACCAAGGCUUUGACGGGUAGCCGGCCUGAGAGGGUGACCGGCCACAUUGGGGCUGGGGAACGGCCCAGGCUCCUUCGGGGAGCAGCAGUUGGGAAUAUUUCACAAUGGGGCGAAGCCUGGUUCAGCAACGCCGGGUGCGGGAAGGCGGCCUUCGGGUUGUAAACCGCUUUCGCCUUUGGCGAAGCGUUAGUGACGGUAAUGGGUGAAGAAGCCCCGGCUAACUUCGUG
rnacentral:rRNA from 1 species